UUAAUGUAAUAUCUCAAGAAGCCAUCACAACAAAUCGGGGUUGGAGUGAAACAAAUAUGUCAGGGUAACCGAUUGGUGGGACAACUUUAUUAAAGAAGAACUGUUUCAAAUGAAUAAUUUAUGUCCUGGAGCAGCUCAUCUCAGCCUCAGACGUCACACCCACGGACCGUUGGCUGAACGUCUGAUGCAUCAGGCACACAAAAGUGAGUUUCGAAGUUGUCAUCGGAUUGGUCGAAUUAUACAGGAUUUCUGGGAGACGUGUGUGUCGCAUUCUUUAACGUUCUGCCAGGAAACAAAGAUGCCGUAACACCCUCACGAAAGAAGAAAACCAUAAUGUUUACAACUGUGACGAUGAGCGCUUAUCAGGAUCAACUACUGGAUAUUCAAAAAUAUGUGAAAUAUUUAACGUUUGCAGCAUAGCAUUUAAAAUACGUCUGAGAGUCUUACACACCGAUCUGUUAUCGUGGCAACAUUUCCAGGCCCCGAAACGUGACGAUGAAUGAGGCUAACUGUGAUUGGUUGUUUGACAUGUCGCUCAAAUGGGCUCAUGGGUGGGCCUUGGCCAUUGAAAGCUGCCAUGGAUUCUGGACCUUCAGUCUGAAGUGCUGACAGGUUAGAUCACAUGAUCUGAAUUACUGCUCAUUAUAUCAGCUCAUCCAUGUUUCCGUUAUGGCAUAGUAAAAGUAAAACAGGUAAUCGCAAUUCAGACUUUAUUUUUAUGCUGAGCUGGAAACAGGCUUCCAUAAAGAAAUCGGUAUAAACUCACAAUUCUGAAAAUUUAAAGAUAUACUAUAAACUCCUACUUAAAUUUUCUGCAUUUACAAAAAAAUAAUUCCCCUGCCAUGGAAUAAGAAAUAAAAAAAGGUAGUUGUGA